GCAGCGGGAAGAAACCCGGCGCAGCCAUCCUCAGGUCCGCAGCCGGCGCUGGCAGUCCCACCCCGACUCUGGGUGUUUAGGUUAACUGGGCCUCUUUCGCUUUCGCUUCCGGGAGAACUCCCUGCCGGAUUCAUUUAAUUAUCAGCAUCAACGUGGCUUGCCACUGGAGGUCUGCUCAUCAUCCCUGGGCAGAUCGGGAAAAACCCAUCAGGGGAUCAGGAUGGCAGGUGUUGAAAGCCAAGGAAAGAAAGUUCUACAAGAAGUAAAUUGUUGACUGUCAUCAGCCCUGAAGAUGUUACGGAGUGGGAUGAGAUGACAAGAAAUGCUGCAACCAUUUUGUAACCAUGAAGGUUAAUGUCUCAGAAACACUGAGAAUGGCAAGUUGGAAAGAUAGAAGAGCCUGGUCCUUGACAUCUUCAUUGAUCUUCAGAACCAGUCCUAGAACCACUCACCACCAGAUUCCUUAUUGAAUCAGUAAAUGUCAUUGUUCUAUAAGUCUCUUUUAGUUUGAUAUUCAAUUGCCUAUGGCAGAAAGCAUGCUAUAGGAUAUCCCUGAACAACUUUUUCACUAGUUUUCUGUCAAAUGAUCUAUGUCCUUAGUUUAGUUACACCUCUUGUUAACAGAA